rnacentral:tRNA from 1 species
GGUUGUGGCUCAGUGGUAGAGCACUCGCCUGGCAUGUGUGAGGCACUGGGUUCAAUCCUCAGCACCA